rnacentral:misc_RNA from 1 species
AUUGGAAGUGACCUUGAUGAGGUGGACUCUUGUGAUAGAUCACCAAGUCUCUUCUAACUGUGUGGGGGUGGGGGUGUGGUUCCCAUUGGAAUUGGAUUUGAGAAAAUUCUGUGAUUUGCGAGAAUUUUAAUAUUUUCAACCUUACUGGCCUAAGACCAAUUCUUGCAAAGUACCUUUUUUGCUAGUGCACUGUUACAUCAUUUUAUCAAAACAUAAAAUCAUAUAUUGAAAAAAUAGCCCAAUAAUGUACUGCCAAGAAAUGGUACCUGGUCUUUUGCCAUUGUGGUUUCAAAAUUAAGUUGUUUGUUUUAUAAUGUUAUUAAUGAUUUUGUUGUUUUAAUGCUGCCAAUUUUACUUUAAUGAGUUGAUAGAGAAUGCAGAAGCUUUACAAGAAAAGAACUUCAAUUUUAAUGCUCGUAUGUAAUUUUAGCUUCUUUAAAUCUUAUAUAGAAGAUCCUGAACUUUAUAAUGCAUUUAUAUUUUUAUUUUCAUUCACAAGGAUGAUGAGGAACCAGUAUUAUCAAUUUAUGCUGAAAUAGUAAACUGUUAUGUUGCUUCAAAAAUAUAUUGACAUUACAGUUAAGUGAAACAUAUUUUGUUUGUCAUUUUUAUCAUUUAAGGCAUUACACUAAAUUUUGCAUCUAGAUAAUAUAAUUACAAUGCAAAAUUUUUUUCUGUUGGCUUUGUGAUUGUUCAUAUUAAUAUCUUGUUCUGUGUGGGUUCAAUUAUAUAUAUACAUGUAUUUAUUAUCUUUUUAUUAAUGUUGUUAAUUUCCUUAUACAUGUAAUAUUAAACAUACC